UCAAAGAUUAAGCCAUGCAUGUCUAAGUAUAACGUUUAUCCAGUGAAACUUGCGAAUGGCUCAUUAAAUCAGUUAUAGUUUAUUUGAAGAGAAUAACCAUUAGGAUAACCGUGGUAAUUCUAGAGCUAAUACUUGCUUCUAGGCUUUAUUAGAUAUGAAUCACAAUAACUUCAGAUCGUUCUGACGCUUCAUUCAAAUUUCUGCCCUAUCAGCUAGAUGGCAAGGUAUUGGCUUGCCAUGGCAGCAACGGGUAACGGGGAAUUAGGGUUCGAUUCCGGAGAGGGAGCCUGAGAAACGGCUACCACAUCCAAGGAAGGCAGCAGGCGCGCAAAUUACCCAAUCCCGACACGGGGAGGUAGUGACAAUAAAUAACGAUGCGGGGCCUAUGGUCUUGCAAUUGGAAUGAGAACACGAUAAAUAGGUUAACGAGGAGCAAAAAGAGGGCAAGUCUGGUGCCAGCAGCCGCGGUAAUUCCAGCUCUUUUAGUGUAUAUUAAAUUUGUUGCAGUUAAAAAGCUCGUAGUUGAUAGUCGGGGGACGGAACUUCUUUAUUGAGGUUUCCUGAACCUAGGUCUGUAUAUUUGCAGACCAGUUACUUUGAGAAAAUUAGAGCGCUUAAAGCAGUCAUUGAAUACGUUAGCAUGGAAUAACAAUAGGACGAGGUUUCUUUUGUGGGAACAUCGUAAUUGAUUAAAAGGGACAGUCGGGGGCAUCAGUAUUCAGGAGCUAGAGGUGAAAUUCUUAGAUUUCCUGAAGACUAACUAGUGCGAAAGCAUUUGCCAAGGAUGUCUUCAUUAAUCAAGAACGAAAGUUAGGGGAUCGAAGACGAUCAGAUACCGUCGUAGUCUUAACAGUAAACUAUGCCGAUAGAGUGGAGGAUGGACUAUUUAAUCUAUUCUCCGCUCAAGCGAAAGCAGUUGGUUCUGGGGGGAGUAUGGUCGCAAGGCUGAACUUAAAUAUUAACAGAG
rnacentral:rRNA from 1 species